rnacentral:piRNA from 1 species
UUGGACAGGCUGAAUAUCCUUCAGGAC